rnacentral:rRNA from 1 species
AUUGCAGAAUUCAGUGAAUCAUUGAAUCUUUGAACGCACCUUGCACCUUUUGGUAUUCCAAGAGGUACACCUGUUUGAGUGUCAUGA